rnacentral:rRNA from 2 species
ACGGGUGCGUAACGCGUGGGAAUCUGCCCUUAGGUUCGGAAUAACAGCUGGAAACGGCUGCUAAUACCGGAUGAUGACGAAAGUCCAAAGAUUUAUUGCCUGAGGAUGAGCCCGCGUUGGAUUAGGUAGUUGGUGGGGUAAAGGCCUACCAAGCCGACGAUCCAUAGCUGGUCUGAGAGGAUGAUCAGCCACACUGGGACUGAGACACGGCCCAGACUCCUACGGGAGGCAGCAGUGGGGAAUAUUGGACAAUGGGCGAAAGCCUGAUCCAGCAAUGCCGCGUGAGUGAUGAAGGCCCUAGGGUUGUAAAGCUCUUUUACCCGGGAAGAUAAUGACUGUACCGGGAGAAUAAGCCCCGGCUAACUCCGUGCCAGCAGCCGCGGUAAUACGGAGGGGGCUAGCGUUGUUCGGAAUUACUGGGCGUAAAGCGCACGUAGGCGGCUUUGUAAGUCAGAGGUGAAAGCCUGGAGCUCAACUCCAGAACUGCCUUUGAGACUGCAUCGCUUGAAUCCAGGAGAGGUCAGUGGAAUUCCGAGUGUAGAGGUGAAAUUCGUAGA